AACGCUAGCUACAGGCUUAACACAUGCAAGUCGAGGGGCAGCAUGGUCUUAGCUUGCUAAGGCCGAUGGCGACCGGCGCACGGGUGAGUAACGCGUAUCCAACCUGCCUUACACUCUUGGACAGCCUUCUGAAAGGGCGAUUAAUACAAGAUGUUAUCAUGAGUAAGCAUUUUCGCAUGAUUAAAGGUUUACCGGUGUAAGAUGGGGAUGCGUUCCAUUAGAUAGUAGGCGGGGUAACGGCCCACCUAGUCUUCGAUGGAUAGGGGUUCUGAGAGGAAGGUCCCCCACAUUGGAACUGAGACACGGUCCAAACUCCUACGGGAGGCAGCAGUGAGGAAUAUUGGUCAAUGGACGAGAGUCUGAACCAGCCAAGUAGCGUGAAGGAUGAAGGUUCUAUGGAUUGUAAACUUCUUUUAUACGGGAAUAAACGAAUCCACGCGUGGAUUUUUGCAUGUACCGUAUGAAUAAGGAUCGGCUAACUCCGUGCCAGCAGCCGCGGUAAUACGGAGGAUCCGAGCGUUAUCCGGAUUUAUUGGGUUUAAAGGGAGCGUAGAUGGGUUGUUAAGUCAGUUGUGAAAGUUUGCGGCUCAACCGUAAAAUUGCAAUUGAUACUGGCAGUCUUGAGUACAGUUGAGGUAGGCGGAAUUCGUGGUGUAGCGGUGAAAUGCUUAGAUAUCACGAAGAACUCCGAUUG
rnacentral:rRNA from 1 species